CCUACGGGACGCAGCAGUGGGGAAUAUUGCACAAUGGGGGGAACCCUGAUGCAGCAAUGCCGCGUGAAGGAUGAAGGUUUUCGGAUUGUAAACUUCUUUUGUACGGGACGAAGAAAGUGACGGUACCGUAGGAAUAAGCCACGGCUAACUACGUGCCAGCAGCCGCGGUAAUACGUAGGUGGCAAGCGUUAUCCGGAUUUACUGGGUGUAAAGGGAGCGUAGACGGAUGGAUAAGUCUGAAGUGAAAGCCCGCGGCUCAACUGCGGGACUGCUUUGGAAACUGUGCAUCUUGA
rnacentral:rRNA from 1 species